GUGCUUCUGCCCUAUUUUAGCGAGAAGGAGGGGGACGUACGCCGUGUCCCUAGGGCCUUGCAUCGGCUCCAGUUCCUUGACUGUCACUUCUGCUUUCUGUAUUCUCUUGGCUUGGAGACAUUUGGAUCACCAUCCUCU